GCUUCAGCACAGAAUCUGCUGAGAAGAAGGGGGGAUCCAGGCGCAAGUUCCUUACCCUUGUGGGAAUCCCAUGGCCGUUGUCAGAGGCCUUGGCAUCCAGGUUCUUGUUUUCUCUCCAGGCAUUUUGUCAUGCCCUAGGUUUGGGUACUCUUCCAGAUUGCUUUCAGAAGAUCGUGAAUCAUGUCUGGUCUUUGCUGCGCCUCCUUUUUGGGCAGUGAGCUCCAGGAGAUGGCUGCUCUGGACAGUAUUUGCUUUGUUUGAUUAACGAAGACUUGGACCUUGUUGUUCUUUACUGUCGCUGCCUCAAAGGCUUUAAUCAAAGGCUGUUUGGAAAUAAUGCUAGCUAAUUAGCUAUUUGUGAUGCAACAAGGGCGACUCUCUCUUAGUUCCUUAAACCUUUCACCUGAAACACAAACAUGCCACACUGGAGAUUUAAUUGUCAAGGAAGAUGAAAAGUCUACCAAAUCAUUUGCUGGGUAAAGGCCUCCUGUUGACAUAAGCAACAGGAACCUGCAGGCUUGUGCAACAUGGGCCUGUAGCAGCAUGUUGUCAUGUGGAAAGUGGAUGAGUGACAUGGCUGAUCUCUAGCA
rnacentral:lncRNA from 1 species